CCUACGGGUUGCAGCAGUGGGGAAUAUUGCACAAUGGGCGCAAGCCUGAUGCAGCCAUGCCGCGUGUAUGAAGAAGGCCUUCGGGUUGUAAAGUGCUUUCAGCGGGGAGGAAGGUGUUGAGGUUAAUAACCACAGCAAUUGACGUUACCCGCAGAAGAAGCACCGGCUAACUCCGUGCCAGCAGCCGCGGUAAUACGGAGGGUGCAAGCGUUAAUCGGAAUUACUGGGCGUAAAGCGCACGCAGGCGGUCUGUCAAGUCGGAUGUGAAAUCCCCGGGCUCAACCCGGGAACUGCAUUCGAAACUGGCAGGCUGGAGUCUUGUAGAGGGGGGUAGAAUUCCAGGUGUAGCGGCGAAAUGCGUAGAGAUCUGGAGGAAUACCGGUGGCGAAGGCGGCCCCCUGGACAAAGACUGACGCUCAGGUGCGAAAGCGUGGGGAGCAAACAGGAUUAGAUACCCCUGUAGUC
rnacentral:rRNA from 1 species